rnacentral:piRNA from 1 species
UAAAUGUAUCGGAGGCCCCUAGUA